AUCCGAUCUGGAGGGGAGUACCCCCACGCGGCAGGUCGUCACUACGGGAUCGUCCGAUCCCCGGCCCGCCGGCCGUCACCCUCGGGUAGGCGGUGGGAGAGACCUUCGGUACUGAC
rnacentral:misc_RNA from 1 species